rnacentral:rRNA from 1 species
GCGAGCGGCGGAUGGGUGAGUAACACGUGGGGAAACCUGCCCCCUAAGUCUGGGAUACCAUUUGGAAACAGGUGCUAAUACCGGAUAAUAAAGCAGAUCGCAUGAUCAGCUUUUGAAAGGCGGCGUAAGCUGUCGCUAAGGGAUGGCCCCGCGGUGCAUUAGCUAGUUGGUAAGGUAACGGCUUACCAAGGCGACGAUGCAUAGCCGAGUUGAGAGACUGAUCGGCCACAUUGGGACUGAGACACGGCCCAAACUCCUACGGGAGGCAGCAGUAGGGAAUCUUCCACAAUGGACGCAAGUCUGAUGGAGCAACGCCGCGUGAGUGAAGAAGGUUUUCGGAUCGUAAAGCUCUGUUGUUGGUGAAGAAGGAUAGAGGUAGUAACUGGCCUUUAUUUGACGGUAAUCAACCGGAAAGUCACGGCUAACUACGUGCCAGCAGCCGCGGUAAUACGUAGGUGGCAAGCGUUGUCCGGAUUUAUUGGGCGUAAAGCGAGCGCAGGCGGAAAAAUAAGUCUAAUGUGAAAGCCCUCGGCUUAACCGAGGAACUGCAUCGGAAACUGUUUUUCUUGAGUGCAGAAAAGGAGAGUGGAACUCCAUGUGUAGCGGUGGAAUGCGUAGAUAUAUGGGAAGAACACCAGUGGCGAAAGCGGCUCUCUGGUCUGCAACUGAC